UCUUGGGAUUUUGGUCUCCUUUCUUUUCCAAAUCCAUAUCGCCUUCCUUAUCUUGUUCUUCUUCGCCCAAAAUUACAGUUCACCUCCUAAACCAUGGCGGCGGCGUCGCUCUCGAUAACCCAAUUGUUUCUGUUCAAAAGAAGUUCCGUAGAGAUAGAAAGUUUGUUCCUUGUUCGGUUGCCGAAGAAACCCAAGUUCCAGAAGAAGCAGCAGAAGCAGAAGCAUCGGUUGUCGUUCCGGUCUCGCCUUCCGACGUUCUCACAAUGUUCUUUCAGGCUGAUGGAAUGAUGAAUGAAGCAUUGAUUCCUGCUAUUUCCGGGGCCCUACAAGUAAGUCUUUUAGUUGCAAUUGCAGGUAGAUCGAUUGACUGAUUUAGCAAAGUCUGUACCAGUUCACCGCUCAAAAGUCCAGACUAUGAGUGCUGAGGUGCUGGAUAGUAAUCCUUACAGUAGGCUGAUGGCACUUCAAAGAAUGGGAAUUGUUGAUAAUUACGGGAGUUCUCUGUUGCCAUUGUUGGAAUAGGUGGAGUGAGUUCCGUUGCAGCCGAAAUGUUAACAAGUGGAUCUGGCUAACAUGAAUAGGCUAUUCUUCCGUCCAGAGCAGGUGUUGUAAUUGAGGCCAGAGCUCAACUUGUUGGAAUCCAUGAGGAUAAUUCCACUCCAAUCGGAUAAUCUAAUGCACAACACAACCAGGAUUCAAACAUGUAGUAUUAAUGGCUAAUCCAAAUGCAGAAGAUUUUGCAUAGUUUCUCAGGUAUGAUUUAUUGGUUUUGUAUGUAGUUGUUCAAGUAUUCCAUUUAGUCUCAAUUUCAUGUUUAUAGGAAACAUAUCUUGAUCAUUCUUUUACAUAUCUUUAGAAUUGUCAAGAAUAUAGUUAAUCAUGAAAAGACAAUGUGUUGAUGCUGCCUAUUCUUGACAUGUAAAAAAUAUUAUUUUAUCACAACCUCUGACCAUGAACUGAA